UGUGGUGUUUCUUUUCGCAUCUCCCCAGAUGCGCGCUGCAAGUGGAAAAUUUUAGGCAUUCAAGACUUUAGAGAAAAAACACUGAAGUAAACGGCAACGAAAGUGCUGCUAAGUUUCGCUCCACACAGUAAAGCAUAGUUCGUCGAGAAGGAAACGUUUGCGCAUUUGUCGAUUACCGGAUAUAAAGUGUAGUGAAAUCGUGCCGAAAAUCACAAACAAGGUGUAAUGCUAGUGGUCGGUUGGCAGUAGUCAUCACAGCACUCUGAGGGAUCCUCCCUUGUCACUUUCCCGUAUUCGUACCGUAAUUCAACGUCUGCUGUGUACCAAGUGCUGCAUAAGUGAAAUUUUACUUUAGACCAAGCGGAUUGAUACAAUUGAAAACUAACUAUUGAAGAAGGCUCGUGAUCUCGACCGCCGUUCGCUAGAACUUAAUCCACAAUCUUGAAAGUGAACAAUUGAAGCUGACCGUGCGAAACAGCUGCUAGUCUACACGAUAUCGUAAUCUUACUCUUAUCACAAUGGAUAAAAGGAAAUUGUCAACAUCCGGUGAUACUCUGUAUCAAACGUUGGGACUACCAAAAACAGCCACCGCAGAUGAGAUUAAGAAGACAUACCGAAAGCUCGCGCUGAAGUAUCAUCCCGAUAAGAAUCCAAAUAAUCCAGAUGCAUCGGAAAAAUUCAAAGAAGUAAACCGUGCUCAUUCCAUUUUGAGUGAUUUAACGAAGAGAAACAUCUAUGAUAACUAUGGAUCCCUCGGAUUGUACAUUGCCGAACAGUUUGGCGAGGAGAAUGUCAACGCUUACUUCGUUGUAACGUCGCCCACGUGCAAGGCUUUGUUUAUGAUCUGCGGUAUUAUCACUGGUUGCUACUGCUGCUGCUGUUGCUGUUGCUGUUGCAACUUCUGCUUCGGCAAAUACAAACCUGUACCUCCGGAGCACGCUGGGGAUUACCAUCAUUUACACAGAGAUGCUGCUGCAAGCAGCAGCAACGCAGGGGAAAGAUCGGUCGUCACAGAUCAACCAAAGCCAAAUGAGGAUUUGGCAGAUCUGGAGGAUAACGGCGUUGGCGGUGGUCCUGUGACUUCUCAGCCACAGGCCGGCCAGGCACAGGGUGCUGGUAUGCCCGUCUAUGCAAUGCCUCCGCCUUCGUCAAAUCCGACGAACCCAUUCACCGGUUCGGCCGCCACGGAGAGCACAGGCUUGAACAAGGGAAAUCAACCCAUUUACACACCUGGAGAUUUGCUUCAAUUUUGAUGUCUUUCCACGUAUCCGUGUAUUCUGAAGGCUCUUCACUACAACACGUCUUCAAUUCUGCACCUUGUUGUUGAAUUGUAGUUUAUUUACAUUGGGUUUCUAAGUAUGAAGUGAGUGUAUUAUUCGCCGCCAUACAUACCAAUAUUGGUUCAAAAGGAAGCCGCUCGGUUCUUGUUGAGCGGGUACGUCUUUGCCGAAUCGGAGAAGAGGUUAGUCGGUCAGGACAAGGGUCCUCUGCAACACACCUUUAUGUGCAGCGAACUAUGCACCGAACCAAAUAACACAUAUACAAGUUAAUGUAACAAUAAUAACAAACCCUGGUAAUCGCUGAAACGAUCGCAGAAUUCUCUGUAAAGAAGUUCAACGGAAAAAAUAUCUUGUAAGGCAUAUUCUUAUUUUUGCAAUCGCCACAGUUCAUAUGGCUUCUGCUCCCAUGCGAAAAAGAACUCGAUACAGAACAGACAAAAAUCUAAAACUACUUAGUAGAAUAAUAUGUGUGUGUGUGUGUUCGUUCGUGUGCAUUCGAUGAGCAGAGUAAAGGCUUUAUCCCGUAAAUCCAAUGGAAAAUAGCGAAGGAUUAAACGAAACCGAUCCAACAUAAGCUAACAUUAUUUUACAUACCUUUCUAGCGACAAAAUGUAAUUUAUCGUCAUGCAAUACUGUGAGGCAGUCGAGGUGUUUCGAAGAAGGAACAACAGGCUUUCAGUACUACUGCUUUGUUGAGAUAUUUGUUCAGUUAGCGAAAGUGCUGAUAAAGAAUGAUAUGUAUUUCUUCCACAGUAAGAGCGCGAGAAAAGUUAAGUACAAGAACAACAAAAAUAUUAGAAAACGAUCGUUAAACAAAUUGAGAAAAGGCUAUAUUGUUGAUGGAAGUAACAGAUAGGAUCUAUUUCCUACUCAUUUAUAACAUAUUACUAAUUAGAUUUUGUCAAAUACUUCUUCAAUUUAUCUGUGGGGCUACCGUGACGCAUGUUGAAUUUUCGGACGAUUAAGAAAUUACUGCGCCAUUAUGUCCAGUAUACCGGAGUUGGUAGACUAUCGAAAGUAUAAUUAAAUAACUAAUUGCGCAUGUUUCUUUUCGUGUAGCAAAUAUCCUCUCGAGCUGAUGAUGAUUGCAAAUAAACAGAAAAUUCAAAGGGA